rnacentral:rRNA from 1 species
UUAACACAUGCAAGUCGAGGGGCAUCAGGAACAUUGCUUGCUUUCUUUGCUGGCGACCGGCGCACGGGUGAGUAACACGUAUCCAACCUGCCCUUUACUCGGGGAUAGCCUUUCGAAAGAAAGAUUAAUACCCGAUAGCAUAAUGAUUCCGCAUGGUUUCAUUAUUAAAGGAUUCCGGUAAAGGAUGGGGAUGCGUUCCAUUAGGUUGUUGGUGGGGUAACGGCCCACCAAGCCUUCGAUGGAUAGGGGUUCUGAGAGGAAGGUCCCCCACAUUGGAACUGAGACACGGUCCAAACUCCUACGGGAGGCAGCAGUGAGGAAUAUUGGUCAAUGGGCGCUAGCCUGAACCAGCCAAGUAGCGUGAAGGAUGAAGGCUCUAUGGGUCGUAAACUUCUUUUAUAUAAGAAUAAAGUGCAGUAUGUAUACUGUUUUGUAUGUAUUAUAUGAAUAAGGAUCGGCUAACUCCGUGCCAGCAGCCGCGGUAAUACGGAGGAUCCGAGCGUUAUCCGGAUUUAUUGGGUUUAAAGGGAGCGUAGGUGGACUGGUAAGUCAGUUGUGAAAGUUUGCGGCUCAACCGUAAAAUUGCAGUUGAUACUGUCAGUCUUGAGUACAGUAGAGGUGGGCGGAAUUCGUGGUGUAGCGGUGAAAUGCUUAGAUAUCACGAAGAACUCCGAUUGCGAAGGCAGCUCACUGGACUGCAACUGACACUGAUGCUCGAAAGUGUGGGUAUCAAACAGGAUUAGAUACCCUGGUAGUCUACACAGUAAACGAUGAAUACUCGCUGUUUGCGAUAUACAGUAAGCGGCCAAGCGAAAGCAUUAAGUAUCCCACCUGGGGAGUACGCCGGCAACGGUGAAACUCAAAGGAAUUGACGGGGGCCCGCACAAGCGGAAGAACAUGUGGUUUAAUUCGAUGAUACGCGAGGAACCUUACCCGGGCUUAAAUUGCAGUGGAAUGAUGUGGAAACAUGUCAGUGAGCAAUCACCGCUGUGAAGGUGCUGCAUGGUUGUCGUCAGCUCGUGCCGUGAGGUGUCGGCUUAAGUGCCAUAACGAGCGCAACCCUUAUCUUUAGUUACUAACAGGUCAUGCUGAGGACUCUAGAGAGACUGCCGUCGUAAGAUGUGAGGAAGGUGGGGAUGACGUCAAAUCAGCACGGCCCUUACGUCCGGGGCUACACACGUGUUACAAUGGGGGGUACAGAAGGCAGCUAGCGGGUGACCGUAUGCUAAUCCCAAAAGCCUCUCUCAGUUCGGAUCGAAGUCUGCAACCCGACUUCGUGAAGCUGGAUUCGCUAGUAAUCGCGCAUCAGCCACGGCGCGGUGAAUACGUUCCCGGGCCUUGUACACACCGCCCGUCAAGCCAUGGGAGCCGGGGGUACCUGAAGUACGUAAAAGCAAGGAUCGUCCUAGGGUAAAACUGGUGACUGGGGC